rnacentral:rRNA from 1 species
UACGUAGGGUGCGAGCGUUGUCCGGAAUUACUGGGCGUAAAGAGCUCGUAGGUGGUUUGUCGCGUUGUUCGUGAAAACUCACAGCUCAACUGUGGGCGUGCGGGCGAUACGGGCAGACUAGAGUACUGCAGGGGAGACUGGAAUUCCUGGUGUAGCGGUGAAAUGUGUAGAGAUCGGGAGGAACACCGGUGGCGAAGGCGGGUCUCUGGGCAAUUCCUGACGCUGAGGCGCGAAAGCGUGGGGAGCGAACCGG